GCGGGGAUGAGGUGUGGGUAGGGGUGAAAUGCCAAUCGAACCUGGAGAUAGCUGGUUCUCUCCGAAAUAGCUUUAGGGCUAGCCUCAAGGUAAGAGUCUUGGAGGUAGAGCACUGAUUGGACUAGGGGCCCCUACCGGGUUACCGAAUUCAGUCAAACUCCGAAUGCCAAUGACUUAUCCUUGGGAGUCAGACUGCGAGUGAUAAGAUCCGUAGUCGAAAGGGAAACAGCCCAGACCGCCAGCUAAGGUCCCAAAG
rnacentral:rRNA from 2 species